rnacentral:rRNA from 1 species
AUUGAACGCUGGCGGCAUGCUUUACACAUGCAAGUCGAACGGCAGCGCGGUCUUCGCCCUGGCGGCGAGUGGCGAACGGGUGAGUAAUGCAUCGGAACGUGCCCAUCUGCUUUUGAUAGCCCGGCGAAAGCCGGAUUAAUACCGCAUAAGACCUGACGGUGAAAGCGGGGGACCGAAAGGCCUUGCGCUAUUGGAGCGGUCGAUGUCGGAUUAGCUAGUUGGUGGGGUAAAGGCUUACCAAGGCGACGAUCCGUAGCUGGUUUGAGAGGACGACCAGCCACACGGGAACGGAGACACGGCCCAGACUCCUACGGGAGGCAGCAGGGGGGAAUUUUGGACAAUGGGGGCAACCCUGAUCCAGCCAGACCGGGGGGGGGAAAAAGGCCUUCGGGUUGUAAACCCCUUUUGUUGGGAAAGAAAACCAUUGGGUUAAUACCCCGGGGGAUGACGGUACCGGAAGAAUAAGCACCGGCUAACUACGUG